GUCCACGCCCUAAACGAUGUCUACUAGUUGUUGGGUCUUAAUUGACUUAGUAACGCAGCUAACGCGUGAAGUAGACCGCCUGGGGAGUACGGUCGCAAGAUUAAAACUCAAAGGAAUUGACGGGGACCCGCACAAGCGGUGGAUGAUGUGGAUUAAUUCGAUGCAACGCGAAAAACCUUACCUACCCUUGACAUGGAUGGAACCCUGGAGAGAUUCGGGGGUGCUCGAAAGAGAACCAUUACACAGGUGCUGCAUGGCUGUCGU
rnacentral:rRNA from 1 species